AAGUCGUAACAAGGUUUCCGUAGGUGAACCUGCGGAAGGAUCAUUAACACGUAUCCACGUUAACCAAUGUGAACUGUUUUCGCCCUCCCUUUGCUGCAAAUGAGUUGGAAUUUGUAAUAGCGUUGAUGUGGAGUUCUAACGGACUCAACUAUUACAAACUACUUCGGCUUGCCGAGACAACUGGAUUGCACUGAAGGCUUUUUCUCGUCACUUUGAUUUCCAUCAUAAUCGUGGCGGCGGGAUACUUAUUUACCAUUUUCACCCUUUUUUGCUAGUUGACUUUUUUAUGUUGUUCUUUACGCAAGUAAGGUUCACACGUUUAUUAAUUGAACGUUAAAAAUACAACUCUUAGCAAUGGAUGUCUUGGUUCUC
rnacentral:misc_RNA from 1 species